rnacentral:tRNA from 1 species
AUCCGGGUAGUUCAAUUGGAUAGAAUACCAGUCUACGAAACUGAUGGUUUGGGUUCAAAUCCCAGCCCGGAUGCCA